UACGGAGGGUGCAAGCAUUAAUCGGAUUUAUUGGGCGUAAAGGGCGCGUAGACGGAUUGGAAAGUCAGAAGUGAAAUACCGUGGCUCAACCACGGAGCAGCAUCUGAAACUACUAAACUAGAGGAUAGGUGGGGGAAACGGAAUUCCACAUGUAGCGGUGAAAUGCGUAGAUAUGUGGAAGAACACCGGUGGCGAAGGCGGUUUUCUAACCUACACCAGACGUUGAGGCGCGAAAGCGUGGGGAGCAAACAGG
rnacentral:rRNA from 1 species